UGGGGAAUUUUGGACAAUGGGCGCAAGCCUGAUCCAGCCAUGCCGCGUGCAGGAAGAAGGUCUUCGGGUUGUAAACUGCUUUUGUACGGAGCGAAAAGCCCCUGGCGAAUAACCGGGGGCCAUGACGGUACCGUAAGAAUAAGCACCGGCUAACUACGUGCCAGCAGCCGCGGUAAUACGUAGGGUGCAAGCGUUAAUCGGAAUUACUGGGCGUAAAGCGUGCGCAGGCGGUUUUGUAAGACAGAGGUGACAUCCCCGGGCUCAACCUGGGAACUGCCUUUGUGACUGCAAAGCUGGAGUGCGGCAGAGGGGGAUGGAAUUCCGCGUGUAGCAGUGAAAUGCGUAGAUAUGCGGAGGAACACCGAUGGCGAAGGCAAUCCCCUGGGCCUGCACUGACGCUCAUGCACGAAAGCGUGGGGAGCAAACA
rnacentral:rRNA from 1 species